UCCUGAAAAAAAGAGAGGGAGGAAAAAGGUGAAGGCUCUGACCAAUGGGACAAGGGUAACGUGAGAAUACAGGAAUCUCGUUACUCCUUAUGCAUUUUCACUCGUCCACCUAUAUAAGAUGUUCGCUGAUUAACAAUGUCGACGUCAGAUAUGUAUCCAAUCAUAUCUACCUAUAAGUUAACCCGUGUUCAGUCUAUCACCUCAACCAAGCAGCAAAACCCUUCCCCCCAACUCAGGAUCCGGAGGCUGUGAUGGGAGAUCGUCGUGCAAAGAUGCAACCGUCUAGAUCUUUCAUUUUGGCAGGGCAGGGCUCUAUAUACGUUCUACAUAGACGUAAGUUAAAAAAAGAAAUAGUGAACAUAAACAAUAUGGAUUGAGAUUUAGAUCCUUCCCAUUCAGAGGUAAAUCGGCAUCUUUUAUUUACUUUCGCUGAGUAGAUCAUAACUAAGGGUACCCCAUAUAUUCAAAGGCCACAACCACUUUAACUCGUUGACCACACAGGAUAUCUAAGCAGACACAUCGAAGGAAAUUCCAAGUUUCACAAUCCCCAAUCUCUCUCGCCAUGCAAAUACCAACAGCCAGCCACUGCCGCUUGGCACCGCUGUCAUCAAUGUCGGCGCUGUUCUCGUCCUCUCUCACUGGUGGCGGGGUCGGACAACCUUAGGGCCAUAGCUGGAUCUGGCAUAGCAGCGAGUGCAUUUCCAGAACUUAGAAUAUGCUAACCUAACUUAGAAAAUGCUAACCUGUGUUGGGCUAAGUGCCUUAUAGUAUUUGCCUCGACCUCUCUUUAAAGAUAUAAAAAUAAAUAUCCCGGGGAACGAAAAAUGGGUGAUUUGGAAAAAUUCUUCCGAAAUGUUUGUCGCCUGAAGAAAUCUAUGUCUAACUAUUUCCAUAAGAAAAUGAAGGAAAAAAAAUUCCAUUUAUUUAAACUUUUAAAGCUAUUAUUUUUUCGGAAAAUCUUUUCCAAACCGCUGGUUUCAACUAAACGCUAAACACGAGAACCCCAAAAAGUGGCUUCCCGCAAAGUGGUUGCCGAACGGAGGCAGAGAAAGAGUACGGCAAAGGGGUUGCCAAAGGCAGAGGGAGGCCAACAUGCUCACCAUGUAUGUGGAAGUCCAAGGUGUUGUUAGGCACCAACUCGUGCGUGAAGUAUCCAAACCAUAGACACGGCAUACUGGUGAUGAACUCGGCUUCAUUAUUUCAACCCCAGUCAGGAACUCACGCUCUCCCUGUCCGCUCCCCAACCUUCAGUCGCUUCCCUGCUACCACCUCUUCUUUCCCGGUGGUAAGGACUCCGCGGUUUACGCGCCCAUAACCCCCUUCUUCUCCGAGCAGAUUUACCUCUGAAAAGCCGCCGCUGGGAACCUCUGAAAAAGGCCUUGCCGUUGCCGAAAGAAUGGCUCAGGAUGAAGUGCCCAUUGACUAAAGUAUUGAUGCCGGGCAGUGCGCGGCGCUUGGCAAGAGACGGUGCGAGGCACGCAUAACCCGAGGCUCUCCCUUUGCCGAUCACAUACAGGAACCUUGAGAGAGAAAGAACCCUUCUUUCUUUUUCUUUUAUACUGGAAAUGGAAAAUGAGAGGGUGACCAGCCCCCGCAAGUUUUCUCACGGAAUCCGAAAUCCUUUCUUGAGAAGAAGAGAUCUCUUCUUUCCUUUACAUCGAAUAUCACCAGAUCACCUCUCCCAAGAAGACGUAUUAGAAGAGGUGGAAGAGGCGAAGAAGAUAAGGCCCAUGGGAAACUUGGUAAGAUCACAAUGGUUGAUUAAAACUUGAUAACGACAGCGCUAGUGGCCACUAGCGCUGUCAAGCCACUAGCGCUGUCGUUAUCAAAUCUAAUCAACCAUUGUCUAAAUCUCAAUCAACUAUUGUCCAUCAAUUAUCGUCCAUGAUUUAGACACUAGUUGAUUGAGACUUGAUAACGUUAGGGUAACCCUAUUGCUAUCAACCAUUGUCCUGGUGGUCCCACUUGUCAAUAUCUUGAUAAUAUUAAGGGAUAAUACCUUAAAAAAUCCCAAACUGGUAUACUUGUAACAAAUUUACAUGGAGAAAAUGCUGUCUACGUUUCACACUCCAACAUGGAAAAUAAGAAAGCAACAAAACGCGACACCUGCCGGUGUGGUCCCACUCCAUCAGGCGAGGAGAAAAUAUUCAGUCGUUUGUGCGCGCCACGUCAUCCACUAACGUGGCACAUACAAACCACUCACAUACCAACACCUGUCUCGAGCGGGACCCCUCGAAAAUGAGAAAAGAGCUCAUUUUCGGCUGGCUCAGCUCGGCUCCUACAGAAGAAAGGACGGUCAGCGAUUCCUCAGCUCAAAAUUUUUCUCUCUCCUCACUUGAAUGGGCGAGUUCUCUCUCUCCUCGUAAAAUAACCAAGAAUGCUCAGAGCCUUCCUCUGUUUCUUCUUUGCGCAUCCCACCUCUCUCCGCCUUUGCCUCCGCCUUUGACUCCGCCUCCGCCUGUCCAAAAGCCUCGCUCAUCUGCCUCUAUCACGAGCGGCAGCAGGCUCGCCGCCGCUGACCGAGCGUUGUCCCUAAUGCUGGCCCGCUCGGAACAAUUCAAUAUUUUAGAGAGCAAAAAUCACUGAAAACUCUAAGUCAUAUUUGCCUCUAUUUUUUUUCAUUUGCACCUGAUACAUUUAUAUCAAAAAAUUCUAUGACAUAAAAAACUAUAAACUUUGAGAUUAAAUAUGUCGCAUAAGCAUAAGGUUGGAGUUUUUACCUUUAUAAAAAAAAUAAUCUAAGGUAAUAAUGUCAUACGAGUAUAAAUUUUGAGAUUUUUUAUCUCACGGUUAAAAUUUAAGGUAAAUGUGUUGUAAUUGGCAUAGUUUAGAUCUUUUUUGUGACUUUUUUUUUUCUCUAUUUUGGAAGUUCGCUUUUGAUGGCUCUAUUAACAUGUUGCUAACCUAUAACAAGUUAUAGUUAUUUGAUCUAUUUUAGGCAAUAAAUAAUAUAAUUUUUAUGAGAAAAUAUUUGGAUUUCCCCUCUAUUUACUCAUGCAUCAUAAUGAGACAUAGAGAAAAUAAUUAAAAAAAAAAAAAAAGACGCCGCCCACAAAAGCCUUAGAAGGUGGAUGUGAAUCGGGAAUUCUUUUAUUUAUUCCCCAAUUUUAUGCAAAAAAAAAAAAAUGAGCAAUUUCCUUACGUUAGGAGUUUUGGAUAUUAUCCUAUUUUGAGAGCCUAGGGGGGACGGCUAGGUUUUACUUUUAGAUUGUUUUUUCAUUGUUCUUAGAGUUUUUCAAGUAAUUUGAAAAAAAAAAACGAAAAGCAAUGACAAAAUACUUAUUAUUUGAUUCAAGAUGUUGGGUCUAUUUAAUAUUUUCAUGUUUUCUUCUAUUAUGUUCUAAUUUUCUUUUGUUAAGGUUACGAUGUAGUUUCAUUAUAAUGAUAUGAAUUUUAGGCUUUUGUGCUCUGUAAGUAAUUUCAUUUAUGUGAAUUAUAUAUUACUGUGCUUAAUACUUUUAAGUGAGCAACCGCCAUUUUUUUUUUGGUCAAACUAACCGCCAUUUAAAUGAUAUAAUAUGUAUGUUCGAGACUGAAAAGCGAUGAUGUGUGAUUACUCAUUAUAAUAUAUAACCAUAAAUUAAAAAUGGAUAGAGGUAUACCAUAUUAUUCAUGUGGCUUUCGAUGAUAAGGUAAUCCAAAAUAUUUAUUAUAAACUUGAAAUAUUAACAUAUUUUAGUGCACUUAUGUUUAAUUAACUUCAUAUAGAGAUAUUAUGGAUUUAUAAAUUGGGUAGGUUUGAUAUGUUUAGAGGUGGGGUAAUAAAUAAAUAAGGAAGUUUUGCUAUCGCAUAUUUAAUGUUCCGAAAUUUUGCUUAUAAGAUUGUUAAUUUUAAUAUAUUCUCAAUUCUAUUUUGAUAUACUAGGUAAAUUUUAGGAUAAGUCCACUUUUAAUAUUUAAUUGGUUUAUUAAUCAUCAAUAUUUAUGAGAUGAUAUUAUUUAUCAUCAUUAUAAUAUUUUUUCUAACAAGUGAAUUGAUAUGUUCAUUUGCAUCUAGAAUUUAACAAUAAAGCCAUUCACUAAAAUGCUUUUCAUCAAGGGGUUUUGUCAUUUUCGUGCGUUUUGUGCAUUGUGUUGUUGAGAGCAUGCAAGGAAACAUAGCCAACUGUGUUCGCAUAAAAUACUUUCAUAGGUAAAUACCGAUCGGUCUCUCCGCGACAUGCUUUAAACUAAGGGAAAAAGUCACUAAAAUUCUCAAAUUUUACCCAUUAUAAUACAUUUAUUCGAAAUUUUAUUUGUAAUAUCAAAAAUAAAAAAUUAUGUCGACCGAGACACAUUUAUCAUUUUUUUUUUACAUAAGAAAAUAUUUUUCAACAAAAAUAACGUCAAUUUUUAUAUCACUAAGUUAUUUGAGCAUCAUGUCAAUACCGUUCGUUUUCCGAUGUCCAAGUAGGCAUAUUUUUAACGAAGCUCAUUGAUGGAACUUUGAUGGAUGGGUGAAUGUGUCACACAAGAACACAUUUGAGAUUUAUUGUGUUAGAGUAAAUGUGUUAUAGUGGGCAUAAUUUGGAAUUUUUUUGAGGAUUUUGGCCUUUAACUAAUGUGAGAACUUUUUGUGUUCUCGUUGUUAGACGUGAGCCAGAUUCUCAUCCUUCUAUCUAGAUAGAGGAUGUGUCGAUUUUAUAAGCGUUUGGCCAAGAUCUUACGCGCACGUGAUCCUCUUCGCCCUACGAUUCAGACCUUCUGAAUCUGUGAUCUCGUGUACACUUUACUUCGCAUAUCAAUAAAUAGCUACCUCCGUUGCUCUUCGAGCUCAAAUCCUAAAACCCAAAGCGGGCUCCCACAAUUGCUUUCUGAAAUCCGACCGUAUUUGUGCUGUCUUCCAAUGAUAAGACUCCAUUUCCAUGGGCCAAAGCCCCGAUUCGUUUUUCUUCAGUCACGUAGACCAAUUUGGGUAAUCAAGUCACAUGGGCUACUGAGGAAAAAAGAACAUUCGGACCUCGUUGGGUUCAAUGACAACACAAAUGGAGCAAAAUCGGCCAGAAGAUGUGCUCAAGCCCAAUAUCACCUUUUGCGAUUUAAGGCCCAAAUUAGGUUGGUUUCACGAUGCUUUGAGCUAGAAAAAGGACAAAAAAGGUGGCUUACAUAACUAGCUAGAGCCACUUAAUAAGAACACGAAUGAUAACUAUUAUACUUCAGAAAGUAAUUUUUUCCAGUAUUUCUAUUUUCUGGAUGUGUUUUUGAGUAAAAAUAUACGUUUAAUAACAAUAUAAAUUUUCGAUUCCUAGAGUAGAAAUUCGUUUGUAACAACACAAAAUUUAUCAUUCUUAAGCGACGGCAAUAAGUUGUCGGUUGACUAGUAAUGAGGGCAAACGAUAAAAGAGUUUAUCUUUAUCAUUUCUAUUACAAAAAUAGAGAAGUGAAAAAAAUUUUACUUCUUAUUUCUAUUUCAAAUUUAUUUUUGGAUUAAAAAAUUAUCCUAGAAAAAAAAAUUCUAUUCCAAACUUGUUAUCAAUAUCAGAAAAAUAAUUUUGGUUGGAAAUAAUAUUGUUAUCAUGCACAUUCUAUAUAAUCUUAAACUUGUCACGAAGAGUUUAAGCUUGAUAAUAUGAGAAAGUGACUUGUACCUAACCCCUUUUUCUAUUAGGCUUUCAAGUCACUUAGUAUUCUUACGACACAAUAACUUGUGUUGAUUCAUGUCAUCAUGAUACUUCACAAUCUAUUAUGGAUCAAUGUCUCCAUGACAAAUCAAUCAAGUAUUUUCAUUCAUCAUGGAUUCCCACAUAACAAGAUCGAGUUGGUUGCCCGUUAUAACUCUGUUGUUAUACAUCCUUCCUCGAUUCAUUUAGGGACUUUUGGGAGCGAUUUUGCAGCCAUUGAGAGCUCUAAGCUUGCGUAUUGCCUCCAACUCCAAUUACCAUCCCGUCCUCCAAUUGCUGCCAAUAGCAGAGCACUGACCUGAGAUAUAACAUCGAGUAUGCUGAAUACGGCUGCUUGUCCCAUCAUACCCUCUAAACUUUAUUCUGCUUAUUCUUAUUCCUCAUGUACAAAACUAAGAACCUUCCCUUGGUACGAGAAAUCACAUGUGAACCCACCAAAGAAUGCAUUUGGUUUAUCUUUCUUAUUCCUGAGAGUCCCUGAGAAAAAAUUAGGAAUAUCGGUGAACUUUUUUUUUUUGUUGGGGACCAUUUUGGGGAAAUGCAAGCAAGCUAAAAGUCUAAGGAAAAUCCCCACUUGCCGCCUUUGGGCACCUUCAGAAGGCAUCUUUUAAGGUUAAUGAACUUUUUUCUUCCUAAAUUGCCCCCACUAAUACUUGUAUAUUCUAGUCUUGCCCUAGCUUGUGACUGUUCUUCUCGUCUGACUGUAGAAGUUCUACUAUGCUUAGGUCUCCAGUGAAGGUCGCCGUGCUUGGGUCUUCGCCUAGUUCAUCUUCUUGGACAUCAAGCUCGCUCUUGACUAUUAGGCGAAAUCUUGAGGUCACGCAUCGCUCAUGGUUGAGAGUUGAUGGUUGUCGAUGGUCAAGCGUUGACGCGAUCCGGGCACAGCCCCACUGAGGUUGCAUUAGGAGUGUGCAAAAUACCCGGGAACCGCCUGGACCGCUCGGAACCGGAUCGGAAUCGCUCGGAACCAGCGGUUCUUGAGGUAACCGGUCCGGUUCCCGGUUUCAAUUUUUCGGAACCGGUGGGUACCGGUUCGGUUCCUGGUUCCAUGGGCGGAUCCACUCACCCGAACCGGACCGAAACCUUUUUAAUAUUAAAAAAAAUUACUAAAAGAAACCCUAGAUUAGAUCUCAUUUCCUCACUUCCUUCGUCUUCGGUUCUCUCUCUCUUUGUCUCUUCCUCGAUUCCUCCUAAUCCUAUCGCCAUUUUGAUUCCUCCUUGAGCGUCGAUGCUGCCGCCGCUGUUGUUCGCCCCCUCGCGUUGGCUGCCACCCGCCACAAUGACGGAAAAUUGUUCUUCGACCGUUCUAUGUUGAAAACUCAACCAUAGACCUCCUCCCCUCCUUCUCAACACAUAGACCCGACCGUUCUACGUUGAAAAUCAAAAUUGUUUCACAUCAAGAUCAGUUCCAUGGAUCCACCCGGAAACCGGACUAGAUCAACGGUCCGCUUCCCGGGUGGAUCCAUGCAACAAACGGAUGGAUCCCGGUUCCAUUUUUCGAAAUCGGUCCUUAGCGGGCAGUUCCCGAUUCUAGGUUAGGAACCGCCCGCCCGGACCAUGCACACCCCUAGGUUGCAUGAUCUUAGAGCCCUCUCCUAGGCUCGCAACGGCCCUCUGAGCCCUUGCUUCAACCCUUAUAGAUGAUGAACAGUAGCUCCAUUUAUUUAUUUUAAAAAAAUUAAGUUAUUUUGCCAAAAAUUACACCAAAAAUCAAUAACCAAAGAAAAUAUACCUUAAGCCAAAGAUCUUUGAAGAAAUGAAGGUCAAUCAAACGCAGCUUAGCUCCUUUAGACCUAUCACAUGGCAUGAGGCGCCUGAAUUUGCAGGGAUUGCUCUCUUAUCUUCAUACUUCAUUUCCAACUCAGUCCAAUUGAGCUUGUUCACUAUGUGCAAUCUUCCAAAUUUGCUUUUUAUUUCCAAAUCCAUUAACGUCAUUCCAUAAUAAUCUAGUCUUGUUUUUUUCUUUUCAUUUCCCGUAAUUUGUGCUUGGGAGGAGGCGGAAAGAGUCUUUGACGUUUAAUAACGGAGUUUAAAUCUGAUUAAUACCCGAACUUCUUCCUUCCAAGAUCUAUCCCUUUGCCCCAUUUUUUUUUUCCUAUCACGAAUACAGAGACAAAUCUCUGUCGAUGGCCACCUCCCCAUCGAUCAAAUCUUGAAACUUUGACAAACUUCCUUCUUUUACUCCACACAAGUGUGAACAUGCCAAGAUUCCUCCCUCGAGUAAUCAGAAGAUAAUAGCUCUAUAAAGCAUCUAGACGGCAUCUUGCGCAGCUCUGAGGAACCCUAUUCGCAUGCAGGUGUCGCCAUGCAUGGCGACUCACCUGCCCGUUGCCUUGUCCAUGAUGGCGUUUCGAAAGGAGAAAGAACAUUUGAAAAAUCAACAAAAUGAGGAGUUUGCUGUCGUGUUUGAGUGGAUUUUUGUGUUGGGUCCGCAUCUCAAUCCAGUGCUGAUCGCCAUCAAACCACUUUCCCAAUCAAGUUAUUGACUUGGGACGCUAACGAUAUGCUUUUAAGCCAUCGCGCAGACUUUCACGUUUCUCAUUUCCCGAUAUUGAACCAAUCCCCUCCUGGUUCGUGCAAGAGAAAAUGUGUCGAUAUUACUUUCAUAGUGUUUGCUGAAAUCUCAUGUGCAUGUGGUUUUUCUCUUCGUCUUAUGAUUUAGACCUUUUGAAUUCAUAAUCUUAUGUACAUAUACUCAAAGCUUGCCUAUCGGUAGCUCGAAAACACAGGUUAAGAAGUAGUUGAUUACCCCUAUUGCUCUUUGAACUCAAAUCCUACUAUUUCGAAUCCUAAAACUCAAAGCUGCUACCCAAAUUGCUUUACGAAAUCCAAACAUAUGUGCUGUCUUCCAAUGAUAAGACUCCAUUUCCACGAGCCAAAGCCCCGAUCUGUUCUUCGCCAGUCACAUUGACCGAUUCGAGUGAUUGAGUCGCCUAGGCUACUGGGCAAAGAAGGACAUUCGGACCAUGUUGGGUUCAUUAGCAACACGAAUUAGGCAAAAUCGGCCAGAAAAUGUGCUCUAUCCCAAUUUUACUUUUUGCUAUUUAAGGCCCAAGUUAGGGUGGUUAAUUUCUUUGAAUUAUAAGUGUUAAAUUCUUUAGACAAAAAAAAGAAAAAAAAAAAGAAAAGGUUAACAGUGAUAUACCGCACCGAAUUUGUCGGGAGAAAUAAUCUUGCUUAGUUCUCUUGCAUUUGACCUGGGUCUAAUUGAAUAUUUUAAGAUUUAGGUACUAGUUUGAGAAAGACACAAUCUUUAGAGAUAUGAUUGGGCAUUUGGUUAUCUAAAAAAACAUACAUAUAUAUAAAUAUGACCCUUUUGAAUGGGAGUCGAGGGAAAACGGGAUUAGUGGAAAUGUCGAGUUGGACCAAUGAUCCUCGAUCAGCGUGGGUUCUCCAAACCAUUGUCUCAUGUUGGCCAAUUCAUUUUAAUUUAAUUAACCUAGAAGAAUUCAGAAAAAUUGUCUAAAAUAUCAUAAAUCUAUUGACUUCAACACCUUUCAAUUUCACCUAUAGAGUCCUCAACCUUUUUUAUUUUUUGUCAAUUGAGUAUAUUCAGCCAAUUUUGGUUAGAAAUCAUUGAUAUGGACACUGGCUGUCUUACAUAGCAUAGCGGCGCUAAUGUGAACAAUUUUUAAAAAUGUUUUAAUGUUUUUUUAAUUAGUUAUUCAUUUUUUUAUUUUCUCCUUUUCUUCUUUCCUUUUUCCCUUUCCCCCUCUGCCAGGCCUCGUCGAUAUAGAAUUUUGCCAAUUGAGUCCUCAUUUAGAAUUCUCAUAUGAAAAUUGUCCAAAAAAUCAUAAAUUUAUUGCACUUUUAUCAAUUUAGUCUUAAACCUUUCAAUUCUGCUAGUUGAAUCAUAAAUCUUUUCAUUUUUUGUCAAUUGAAUCCACCUGACCAAUUUUGCUUAGAUUGGGCGAGUGUGGGCUGUCCCUCGCCCAAGGUUAACGACCACUGCCAGCCAUUGAUGAGGCUUGGUGGAGGUCAGUGUAGGGAAAAAGAAAGAAGAAAAAAAAAUUAAAAAAAGAAGAGAAGAGAAAAGGGGGAAAAAAAGAAGGAAAGAAGAAAAGAGAAAAAAAAAUCAAAUAAAAUUCAAAACAAUUUAAAUAUUAUUUAAAAUUAUCUAUGUCAAUGCUGAUCAUCCCACAUAGCAUAACCGACAUUUAUGUCAAUGAUUUCCAGUUAAAAUUAAUUAGAUGAACCGAAUUGACAAAAAGUGCAAUAAGUUUAAGACUUUUUGAAUAAUUUUUCUUAUUUUUCCGGUUAAUUUUCCCAUCUUUUUUCUUUUUGUCUUUUUUAAAAAAAUUGGCAAGAAAAGGAAAAAUAGAUUAUUCCGGCAAUCCAAUUUAUAGCUCAACAGAACGAUCCAUUUCACUUUUGGAACAAUUGCUCUAAUUUCACAAAAACAAUGUGCUCGAUUCUUAUAUGCACGCAAAGCUCCAUCAGCAACGUGCAGUUCCACAUUGCGACGAAUCGGUACCUCAUGAUUAUACUGAGCUCAUCAAACCUCGAGGAAUGACUCUUUUAAUGGGGCAGAAGAUCGCUUCAAGUGUCAUAAGUUGGCACAAAGGGACACUUAAGUACCAAAAUUUAUGAAAGUGAUACUUAAGUGCCAUAUUUGAAAAGAAAUGGAUCACUUAAGUGCCACUCCUCCCAAAAUCCGGCCAAAAUGCUGAUGUGCGCAAUUUCCGGUGAAGUAAAAAACAACGUCGUUUUGGUGCUAAGUUGUGGCCUACUCUUNNNNNNNNNNNNNNNNNNNNNNNNNNNNNNNNNNNNNNNNNNNNNNNNNNNNNNNNNNNNNNNNNNNNNNNNNNNNNNNNNNNNNNNNNNNNNNNNNNNNUAGUUGAUGGGAGUCUAUGGAUGGUUUUUUGAGAGAGGAUUUGAAAUCGGCCGACCCUCCCCCCCCCCCUUAAAUGUUUUGAAUAAAUUUAAUUUUAAAUUUAAUUUUAAAUUUAAUUUAAUUAAUAUUUAUAUUAUUUUUUUACCACGUCAGCACCAAAAUGACGCUAUUUUGUACUUGCUUCAUUGGAAAAUCGCCACAUCAGCAUUUUGGCCGAAUUUUGGCUGGAGUGGCACUUAAGUGAUCCAUUUUGCUCCGAUUUUGACAUUUAAGUAUCACUUUUGUAACUUUUGGCAUUUAAGUGUCCUUUGUGCCAACUUAUAGCACUCCAAGGUCCAUAUGUCCUUUUAGUGGGAGCCAUUUUUCCUGAGAUCCGAAACUCUAGUUCUUGGCAAAUGCUUGAUCUCGAAGGGAAUGGAGUUACUUCGGAAGGCUUCUUAAUCCGCUGGCGAAUUCUGAGGUUUGGGAGAUUUUGCCUCUUGAAGGUAAUCCGUCGUCGAGUUCAGCUCCUUCAAGUAUCAGUAAUCUCAUGGGGACUUGAAGCUUUGAAUUUGAGAGGCAAUAGCUUCUUUGCCCCUCGAACUCAAAGGUUUGCUGAGUUUGCACGGCGUUGCUUUGCAAGAGAGCAUGUUAUGUGGCGAUGUCGCUGAAGGGGUUUAGUAGUCCGGUUCUCUAAUUGUAUACAGUUCAAGAGAAGAUGAUGGAUUCUCAGUUCGUCUAUAACCACGUUACAUUAGAGGGCAUUCAUGCUGCUUCUGCUGGCGUUUGCUUACCCCCUUGAAGAUGUUAAUUAUUUCCUACUCACCACCUCUGUUCAAUCCUUGUCGUUCACGUCGCCACUAUUGCUGAGCCAUCGCUAUCGCCGAAGCAUAACUGGCGCUGGUUGCCUCACGGACACCAUCACUGAAUCAUUGUGCCAAAUCUACCGAGACUUUGCUGGAGUGUCACUGAGUAACCUUUGUUCUUUGUCCCGUCACCAUAAAUUGCCAUAGCACAAACCAGGUUGUUUCUUCAUGAUUGAACUCUAGUAUUAAAUUUUAGAUUCAUUCUAGAUUUUGCCUCGUGAUCUAUGCUUUGUUUUGCUGCCUUCUUAUGUGUUGUCUUACUGGAUCAUCGCCGAGUCCAUUGCCGUGAACGAGAUUGAUCGUUCUUUUGGUCCAGUAAGUCUGCCCAUCGUGCUGGCCACUCACUAUACAGUUCGUGACAGGACAAGCGUUAUUCUCGUCUUCAGCUUCGGCUUUUCAUACAACUUCUCUAGGAGAAAGGAGACAGUAGGUGACGAUCCCGUUAUUAAACAUGUCAGGAUGAGCAAAUUUCAACUUGGUCGAUGGGGAUCCUAUUGGUUUUGGUGGGGCGACGGGAGCGAGUCGUGGAUCGAUUCCUGCAAUCGAGCUUGAGACUGGCGGCAGCGAAGCGAAAAGAGCUUCGUCUAUGGAGGUUGUGCUUGCUGGGGAGAAGAUUGACUCCAUAAAAAGAAACUUACAGUCCUGUAACUGAAAUCCGGAGCCGAAGCAAUUGAGUGCGGUAUUUGUGAAUUUGAGGUGAUGGGGCUGGACUGCGUUAAGCCCAAGCGGAACGAAUGUGGCCGGACUCCAUAGGCGGAUCUUUCAUUGAUCAUUAUUGUUCUUUUUAUGCUCUAUUCUAUAUUAUUUAUUAAAAAAAUUAAAUGCAUAUCCAAUUAUCAGUAAAGAUUCAGAUGUCAAUAAGUGAUUAGCAAGACUCAAGUGUCAACAAGCGAUUUGUUAAUAACUUAUCUCAAAUCAACUCUCAUGUUUACUGCCUAGCCCUAUAUCUGCAUAUCAAAAUACACUACUUCACGAUAAAUUUGCAGUUUGGAUAAGUUGUUCCCUUUUCUGUCAUGCGUUAACAAUUUGAAAUGCUAUAGCAAAUGCAUAAAAAAAUUUCAAUCAAAGGAAAAAAUUACUGUACUUUUGGCGGGCAUUUUUUUUUUAGGUCAGAGAGGCAGGCAUGUUGCAAGGUUGUAGUCUUUUAUUUUUAUUUGUAUGUUACAUAUCGAUUGUGUUUACCUUGUCAUGAAAAGGAAUCUUUUAGGUAGCUAAGUUCCAAACAUAUUACAAAUUUAUAGUUCGUAGGAAAUACUGUACAAUCAUAUUUUAUCUCAUUUACAAGAUGCUAAGAAUUGUGAUCAACAAAUUAAUGAAGCAGUCGAACAUGACAUUUGCAUAGGUGAUUUUGCAAGGAGGAAGGCUUUAAUCAUAAGAACCAAGAGAAAGAGAAAAAGCAAAAAUCCAUUUAUCCUUAAAAAAGAAAAAGGUUAUUGAAAUUCUUUAAUGAUAAAUAUUUUUUGGGUAGUUCUACUACAGUAAUUAUUGAGAGACAAGAAUGCCCUCUAUUUUAUUUCCAAGCAUCCUUGAGAGGACUGCUUCAACUGCAUACCUAGGUCCUAGCGUAUUCAGCAAUCAAAUGAAGGCAGGUAACUUCUUUAUAAGUUGAACUUCUCCUCCUUGGAAUGGUUCAUUAGUCAAUGCUGCAAGGCCGAAAUUAAUUAAUUAAAAUUUAGAGCAAAAUGAUUUUUUACACCAUAAAUAAAACAAAAGGCACCUUUAUUUUGUAACCAGGAAACGUAUGCAUUAUUUUUGCAUGUCGCCAUAUCAAAUAAUAAUAAUAAUAAUAAUGAGAGUAUCACCGAUGUUGGCAAAAUAUACAUAUUUUGAUGUUAAAAAAAAGAAUAAAUAUAAUUAUUUUUAAAAUGAGAAAAGCAAACGAAGACAGUAUCUUCAGACAUGUAAAAAAAGCUGCAAGCGGUCGAUCAGUUAUCCACGGUAGUGCACGUGGCGUCUCUCUCUCAAAAUCAAAGGCACAAGACUUGCUGACAUGGCAACGAAUGCCUACUCAAUAAUUCUUUCAUCCGCGACAUUUGCUGUUUUGAUUGAAUAGAGAAAGCAAAAACAAUAAAUAAUAAUAAUAAUAAUAAUAAUAAUAAUAAUAAUAAUAAUAAUAAUAAUAAAAGAAGGUUCCAAAUUAGUAGCUUUAUGGCAAAGAGCCAAAGUAAAAAGGGGCAAAGCAAAUUGUGGAGAACAUGAAGCUGUUCAAUUGAUUAUGAGGGGUUCUAAAAGAAUGCAAUGUGAGCAUAUGUAACUCACGAUCAAAUCUUGAAUUUGAAUGAAUAAGUAACUUACUAAUACUAUUUAUGGCUCAUGAAGUUAUUUUAUAUCCACCGUCUUCUAUCAUCUAAUAAUGCCUAUCCAUAAAAAGUUACAGAUCUACAAAUAUUGAGUCCACUACAUGGUGGUUCCACGUCGGUGUUGAGGACCCUAACAAUUGGUGAAGGUUUCUCGUCGAUAGCAUGUGUCUAAUGCUAACUCUACUAGUGAAUUGUUGAUUCCCUUCAAGUCGUCCAUUAAUUGACAUUUCACGUUCUCACCAAAUUUAUUCUCAUCGAUUGAAUCCAUCACUUGUUGAUAAUAACAUUGUGAUUGAGUUCCUCUGCUACUCGCGCUUUGCCCAAAGAUUCUAAGGAAUUUGCCACCCUCUGACCCAAAUUUCACAUUAUUCACCGUUCAACAGAAUUAGGGCCACAAAGAAGAGGCACAUUGAAGGACACAAUGAGAUUGUAAAGUAAAUGCGAGCUAAAAGAAAUUACAUGGUUUGUAUAACAUUUUUCAGGGUGGCCACCUCUAAAUUCGGAGGGACCAUCGUUCAACAUAAUCGAAGUGAGGGUGGAGAUUUAUAUUAUUUGCCAGGGUAGGUAAAGGAACUUACAUUCAUCUCAAAAUACUAUUACGAUGAGAAAGAAUUCCCCCAUCCGAAUUUCCGAAGGGAACGAAUUUCACGUGCCUUCUUGACCCUGUCUAAUUUGAUAGGGAGGCCAAUUCUAAAAGUACCAGAGAGAGGCAGAUUUGGCAGUUUCAUUACCUAAUAAAGCUUGCAAUGAUUCCUAAUAAGGUUGACGACGAAUUGACCGGAGAUCAUAUAUACCGUCCAGACCCUCCUAAUCAUCAAAGAACAUCAUCACCCUUCAAUUUAACUAAACUUCAAAAGAUAAUAUCUUGUUAAACGCUCUUGAUGUUUAAUCUUGACUUCCAAGAAACCUUCACAUGCAGUCGCCCUCACAAAAUGAAUGAACAUCAACGUCCAAGUUCAGCAUACGACCAAAGAAGUCUAGCGCAUUGAUCAACUACGAUUUCGACAAUGUUGGGGCACGAAAGUACUCCAAAAUAAACUUAAAUCCCAAAUAACCAAAUUCUCAACUUCGACGAGGUCAGGGCACAAAAAUAUUCCAAAAUAAACUUAACCCAAAUAACCAAAUUCUCGACGUAAAUACUUGAAAAUAUCCACGGUGAAGUGUAUAAACAAGGAGGUUCAAGAGCCUCCGCCGAAACCUUGACUGUCUCUCUACAUCCUUUCCCAUCUCCAGAUCUUGGGCUAUAGGACGGCUAGGGCCAGCGCUGCUCGAGCCAGGCUGCCGCCGUGUUCUGGCAUCUUUUUGGACUUUUUGAGGCCUUGACGGGUACCACAGUCUGAGCAAUCCCCACCCCCGGGUUUGGCGGUUUCCCGGCCCACGUUUCAUCCCACCAUUAAGGUCAGAAAGAGGCGGAUCUCCUUCGACGUCUCGAACAAUCUGCUCAAUUUUUUCAAAAGCUGAUUGUCACAAUUCCUAUUUCCAGAUAAUCUCACAGAUCUUAAAUGAGCUAGACAUGAGUCAGUGAACAAAAAGAACCGUCUUUAGUCAUGAAUGUAGCAAGUGGCAUGCAUCUAAAGAAAGAUUAAGCUCCAGGUACUAAAAAGAUCACCUUACUCAUUUUCGGUCGACGCUCUCCCGAAGGAUGCACACAAGCGGCAGCGCAUUGCACCAUACGAGCCAUCUCAUCCGGGUCGUAAUUCUGCAGCCCAGGAUCAACAAGAGAGUCGAAGUUUCCAUCUUCCAGAUAUCGUGUGAGCUGAGGCCUCACCUGUAAUGACCAUAACAAUGACUCUAUCUCAAUAUUGCACUUGGAUGAUUGAAAAAAACCACCGAUAAGUUCGAAUCCCCUCCGGGACCCAAGAAAAAAAUGAAGGUGUAAUAGGGAGCUUGGCUAUAAUUGUGAACACGAGAAUUGCACGACUUACCCAAUCAACCAGACCCACAGGCCUGCGACCAGUAAUCAACUCCCAAAGCACGACCCCAAAAGAGAAAACGUCCGAUUUUUCCGUUGGGUUCCUACUCGAGAAGUACUCUGGAUCAAGAUACCUCCAAGGAAGAACAUAAACCGUGCCUCAACAUAUUUGAACAGUGACAUAUUUGGACUAGUCAAGCUAAAGAAGUACCUAAAAGGCUGUGCUUUAACAAAUGAAGCACAAGGAUCUAGCGAGCAAUGGCUCAUUUUACAAACAAUUGGAAACAUCUAAGACGGAUUAAUAACAAGCUCACAUUUCAGUCCUCCCAAUCAAAAUACUAAUGGAGAAAAUCUUACCCAAUGGAGCCCUUCACAUUGGUAGACACAUGACUAUUUGCAUUAGAAGUAACUUUUGCGAUUCCAAAAUCCGCAAUCUGAGAGAGAAAAGCAUUUUGAAUUCAGAGGGGGCGUAAUCUACUUGCUCCGAGAGUUGAACCAAUUUAAAUCGGAAAUAUCAAUGCCGACUCUUAAAUUUUAUUCAAAAAGUUUGUUUAUACCUUUGCCUUGAAUUCAUGGUCCACAAGUAUGUUAGUUGCCUUGAUAUCGCGAUGUAUGAUGUUGGGAUCACCUGCACAAGGAAUGUUUGCCACAUAUACAAGAGCUCUGAUUCAGAGUCUUUAUUAACUAAUGAUUCGAUAAAGAUGAAAGGCAAAAGUACAUCUGAAACUUACAACCCUCGUGAAGAUACGCUAGUCCUUCGGCAGCCCCGAAAGCUAUUUUCAGUCUAGUUGGCCAAUCUAGGGUCGGUUGUCCCUCUCCUGCAACGAUCACUUUCCAUCAGAAUCCUUUCCAUCAAACGCACAAAGCGCCAAGUUCUCUGAUUUAGGGCAAGCCAUUCCAAGUACCAUCUAGGUUCACCUGGACCCAUCCUGUCACAACCAGCUCCUUGAUUUUUGGAAUCUAAAUCCUACCAUGCUGUCCUAAAACCUACCCAGUCAAUCAAUUCAAGUCUACCCGGCUAGGGGUGAGCAUAUCGGACCGACCAAACCGGGAACCACCUGGACCGGACCAGCCUGUUUGGUGUAGCUCUUGAAGGCAUCAGUCCAAUUUCCGGUUCCAUAAAAAUAGAACUAGUGAUUUUCGGUCUAGUUCGCGGUUCUGAAGGGAACCGGAAAUCGGACCGAUUCUUUUUUUCAAAAGUAUAUAUUUCUUAUUUCUUAAAAAUAGCAAUAAUCUCUAAAAUAAUAACUAUAGUAAAGCUAUAGUUUUUUAAAAAAAUAAAAAUUAACGGUCUGGUCAAGUCCCCAUUCCCAAAAUUUGGGAACCGGUCCGAUUAGAACUAGAUAGGACUAGGAAUCAAUCACCCCUAAUACCUGGCAACCGGUUAAUUUUUUUUGGUUUCAUUUGGUUCUUCCUUUCCUAUAGUUUUAUUUUUAGUUAAAAACAAAAUUAAAGUGAAAGCAAUAUCAAUAAUCUCCAUUUGCAAUAGUGACGAUCUAUAAAAGAUAAACACAUAAAAUAAAAUAAAUGAUAAAAAGUUCAAAACAAAUAACAUAAAACCUAAAUCAUAAAACUUCAUCAAUUCCUGAUUUGAUUGACUCUUCUUACUGGAGAAUUGAGCCACAUAAUACCGAUUUCACUUUUUUUUCUUUAGCCGAAAAUCGAAUGGUAACUGAAAAAAUCAGGACCCGGACCAGUUACUUAGCCCAUUCGGUUCGAUUCCUAAUUCUCCUCUAGAUCCAUGUCACCCCUAUUCUGAUUAGUUGUCCUUUUUCCUUUUCAGAUAACCCCAAAUGCUAAGACUGAUAAAGAAAGAGGGGUCGGUAUAUAAAAGAUCGUGAUAUAAAUUGGUACGAAAACCCAAACUCACCAUGUAAGUGGAACUCCAAGGUUUUGUUAGGCACCAACUCGUACACGAGGAUGCGCUCGGACCCGGCUGUGCAGUAUCCGACCAAAGACACGACAUGCUUGUGAUGAACUCGGCUUAUUAUUUCAACCUCAGUCAGAAACUCGCGCUCUCCCUGUCCGCUCCCCACCUUCAGUCGCUUCACUGCUACAUCUUUUCCGGUGGAAAGGACUCCGCGGUACACGUGCCCAAAACCACCUUCUCCAAGUAGAUUUGCCUCUGAGAAGCCAUCAGUUGACUUCUCUAACUCGUCAAAAGUGAAAUGGUGCACGCUGAAACCGAGAUCAUUGCUAGAGGAUGCGGAGCAAAACCGCCAUCCCUUCUUCUUGCAAUGUAUGAACAGCAAGCCCACCCCCACCACGACCGCUACCCCCACCCCCACCCCCACCACGACCGCCUCUGUCGAUAUGGUGGACCGAGACAAAGGAAAUGUGGCCAAAGGGCGCGGAGAGGACCCGGAAGAAGCUGACCGUAGAGGAAAUGCCGAGGUGGUGGUGGCGGCAGCCAGAGGCAGCACAGUGGUGUUGGUCCCAGCCGGCGGUGAGGAGACCGGAAGUGGAGUUGACAUUGCUGUCGAAGGAAAAAAAAAAUGACUGAAACGGAGAAACAGAUACUCAGCGGGAGUGAGAGAGUGAGAGAGUUGAAAGAUUUAAUCAGCGGGAGAGAGCAAUAUGCUCACGUAGAAAUCUAUGGUAAGUCGUAGACACUAAUAUGUUCACCACAGAUCAGCGAAAAAGUACAGUGAAAGUUCAAUUAAUUUGGGUUCUGAGUUACCAAAGAUCAAAAAGAGGUAAUCUCUCUCUUAAUCGACAAUUCUGCGAUAUUUCAGUAUUAGUUUGACAAAGAUGCAACCUUUAAAGACAUUCUGCGAUAUUUCAGCAUUCGGUCACUUUUUCUGUUUUUCCAGCUAGUGGGAAACAUCUAAAAGUGACCCUACUUUGUAAGCUCGACACAUAAGUCGGUAGCAUGCCUCACUUCAACUCUCGCGUUUAGCGCCGAAUCCUAUACCUUCUCCAGAGGAAGAGUCAACCCACGGGAUGUUGCAUACUAAAUGUGUCCAUAUUGCCAUGAAAUAGUCUUGAGGCCUGGGCGGCAAGGCUCGCCCUCGCCGAAUUUGGUGAGGCUCGAGCCUCGCCCGAUGGAUCGCGGCGUCGCCGCCGCGGAGGAAACCAGGUGAAAAUUCGAGGCCAGAGCCGCGCAACCGAGGACACCCCUGAGCUCCCAUAAAACCUUAGAGACGAAGACGACGAGCGGAGGGAGGAAAUUUCUAGGGUGAGAUUGGGAUCGAGGAACAGAGCGGGGAGAGCUAGCCUCGCCGCCCAAUGCAAGGCUGCCCUUGCGGCCACUAGCGAGGUGGCCGGUGAGGUCGAGAUCAACCUCGCCGGUUGGAGGAAGAAGAGGGAAGAAAAAAAGAAAAAAAAAAAGAAAAAAAUUAAAAAUUAAAAUAUUAUUAAAAGUUGUCAACAUCAGCGCCGAUCAAGCCACGUCAGCUGACCAGCAUCCAAUAAGCAAAAUCUAGUCAAAAUUGACCGGAAAUGACUGAAUUGGCACAACGUAAAAAGAUUUAGGACUAAAUCGGCACAAAAAAAAAAGUUUAAGACUAAAUCGACACAAAGACAAAAGGUUUAGGACUUUUUUGGCACUUUUCCCCCUCGUUGACUAAAAAAAAAAAAAAAAAAGACUAACGUUCUCCAGACACAUCAAUCAAACAUGGAUUCCCACCUAGCAAGACCAUGUCCAUCUCCCAUUACAACUUUCGCAUUGUAAUCACUCCCUCGUCUUACUUCUUUAGGCAUUUUUGGGGAGUGAUUUUGCCGUUGAGAGCUCCAAGCUUGCAUACUGCCUACAGACACUCUCAUCCUUCAACCACUACAAACAACCUAACACCAUUCGCCUGCGAUUUCGCAUCAAGUGCGCUAAAUUCGGCUGCUCUUCCAAUCAUGGCCUCUCUACUUUAGUCGGCUCAUUGUGAUCGCUCGUGGGCAACGCUAAUAAUAGUACAAAUAAUAAUUGCACAAGAUUUCGCGUGUGAAUUCCAUUGGAUCCUCUAGCCUAUCACAUGGCAAAUGGCACCAGAGCUUGCUAGGAUUGCUCGCUUAUUCUCUCACUUCCUUUCCAACUAAGUCCAAUCAACCUUAAUUAUCAUAUUCAAGACUUGGAAUUCCAUCAAAACUCAGUGCAAAUCCUUUUACCCAUCACAUUCGUCGAUUCAAUUCUUUUAGAAAUUUUAAUUGGCUAUCAUGCAUAUUUAUCUACCUCAACUCCUUAUCUAUCAAGGAGGUGGCAAGAGUUUUUGAAGCAGAGCUUAAAUUUCAUUUAUACCUAAAUUUUUUCCUCCCAAGACUAACUCGUUACCCCCCCUACUUUCUCGCAAAUCUUUUUUCCAUGGCUACUCUCAUUAAACAAAUCACCGAAACCCUAGCAGACUUCCUAGAGCUUUCCUCAAAUAGUAAAAAGCAAGCAAGUGUGAACAAGCCAAAAAGCAAGUGUAGACAAGCCAAAUUUUCUCCGUCUAAGAAUUCAUAAAAUACUAAUUCCCUUGCACAAAAGUCCCAGUUGCAUGUGGGCGACACCAACCGCGGGGACUCAUCGUCCAUUCCACAAAAGUCCAAUAAUCAAAUUAAAAUCAGCAUCUUCCAAGGAAAGAACAAAGAAAACCUACCCAUAAUUUCUUCUACUCCUCCAAUUAACCUUAAAAAUGAGUGCAUGCCACAACUUUCGUUUUCAAAGCAAAAGCCAAGAUUUAUGUCUUUAUUUUAGGUUCCACAGGACAUUUUCCUUUGGGUCUUUCCUUAGCCUUUCUAUAUUGACAAUAAGAAGCGAUCGAUGUUUAGACAGGUGUGAUCUUAGGAGGGCUGGUUCUAGUCUCCCUUUGUCAUUCGGUGCAUGCAUACCCUUCUUCGUUCGGUCUAUAAUAAACAGAUACGUAUAUGAACUCAUACUACAAUAAGAUAAUUUAAUAAGUGAGUUGUCACGCACCUUGUCUUGGUUCUUCAACACGGCAUGCAAGACAGAUAUCGCGUCCGUUUUGGUGGCGAAGCCAGUCAGUCCAAAGAGGCCCUUCAACUGCUGCGGGCAUAUUAUAAUCGCAGCCCCACUCAUGAUGCCGAUUAUUGUUGAGUGCGUCAAGAAGUCCAAACAACAAACCCCAGUCUGCUCAUAUAGAUUUAAUAGAGAAAGAUGAGACUAGUUUGUUUGCUAAUCAAUGAAUCAAAGGAGAAAAUUUGCGCGAUCACUCCUGUAUAUACCUUAGGAACCCUAAGACUGACCGGAAGAUUCUGGUGAUGACAGUGGCCGUGAAGAUCAAGUUGAGAUACAAUUUGCGGUCAGUAUCUGGCGACACUUUCUCUUGAAUGGACGCAGAAAGAAGCAGUGAAGCUGCAGCCACGGUCCAGAACGCCAUGUGCUUUGAGCUCCCGAAGAUACAAGGCUCAAAUCUGUUAUAAGUCAAAAAUCUCAAGUUGAAGCAUGAAGAUUUGUUAAAAAAAAAAAUGGUAUAGUUAUUAUACUUUCAAAUGCAUGAAUGCGAUAAUCGCUCUCAGAGUCAACCAAUUGAGGUCCGAAACAUCAACGCGGACUCUUUUUAAGUAAAUCAAAUAUGUUUGUUUUUACCUUGGACUCGAAUUCGAAGUCCACAAGUAAAUUAGCUCCCUUGAUAUUAGGAUGACCUGCUCUGGGAACGUUUCUCAUGUAAAAUAGAAGAGAAAGCUCUAGGAUUCACACGCAGCUGUAAUCAACUAUUGAUUCGAUAAAAGACGAAAGGCAAAAGUAAAUUCUAAACUUACAAUCCUCAUAAGCAUGCGCUAGUCCUUCGGGUCCCGAGAACGAAAGAAAAACAGCUCCUGAAAAAAAGAGAGGGAGGAAAAAGGUGAAGGCUCUGACCAAUGGGACGAGGGUGACAUGCGAAUACAGGAAUCUCGUGACUUGAUAUGCAUUUUCACUCGUCCGCUGAUUAACAAUCUCAACGUCAAAUAUGUAUCUUUUAAUCAUAUCCACCUAUAAAUUAACCCGUGUUCAGGGUAUCACCUCAACCGAGAAGCAAACCCCUUGCCCCCCAACUUACGAUCCGGAGGACUGUGAUGGGAGCCGGUCGUACAAAGAUGAGGCCGUCUAGAUCUUUCAUUUUGGGAGGCCUCUAUAUACGUUCUACAUAGACCCAUAUAAUAAAAUAAUAGCGGACAUAAACAAGAUGGUUUUUUAUUUAGAUCCUUACCAUUCAGAGGUAAAUCAGCGUCUCUAAUUUACUUUCGCUAAGUAGAUCAUAACUAAG
rnacentral:lncRNA from 1 species